GCCAUCAUCCUCAGUGAACUAACACAAGAACAGAAAACCAAACACUGCAUGCUCUCACUCAUAAGUGGGAGUUGAACAAUGAGACCACAUGGACACAGGGAGGGGAACAGCACACACCAGGGCUUUUGGGGGCUUGGAAGGUGAGGGGAGGAAACUUAGAGGACAGGUCAAUAGGUGCAGCAAACCACCAUGGCACACGUAUACCUAUGUAACAAACCUGCACAUUCCGCACAUGUAUCCUGGAACUUGAAGUGUUUUUUUUUUUAAAGGUGUGUGGUGGUCACCUGGCCCCACUUUGCCAUAGUAAGAUGUGCUUGCUUCCCCUUCCACCAUGAUUUUAAGUUUCUUGAGGUCUCCCCAGUCAUGUGGAACUGUGAGUCAAUUAAACCUCUUUUGUUUCUACAUUACCCAGUCCCAGGUGAUUCUUUAUAGCAGUGUGAAAACUGACUAAUACAGUGUCUGUCUCCGCUUGUGUAUCAUAAAUUCUCUAAGAAGAGGAGUCAAAUUGUAUUCACAUCUGUAUCUACAGAACCUACUACAGGGGUGUCCAAUUUUUUGGCUUCUUUGGGCCACAUUGGAAGAAUUGUCUUGGGCCACACUAAAGUACACUGAACACAAACAAUAGCUGAUGAGCUAAAAACAAUUUCAUAAUGUUUCAAGAAAGUUUACGAAUUUGUGUUGGGUUGCACUCAAAGCCGUCCAGGGCUGCAUGUGACCUGUGGGCCAUGGGUUGGACAAACUUGACCUACUAGAACAUGUGGCCCAGGGGCUCUGUCUGGACUAUAUUAGGUUGGGACAGGGAAUCCUCAGGGCAGACAAUUAGAACUGAGCUUGAUUGCCAGAAGGGACUGCACGCAAAGAGUAACUGGAUUAGUUCUGUGGAACCCCAGAGCACUGAUAUAGGUCUGCUGAAGGAAAGACAUUCUGGAAGACAGAAGACAAUUCUAAAGAACAAUAUUUUAACUGACAAAACUCUUCAAGCAGUGAAAGAGCUACCUUGAGAGGCGGUGAGCUCCUUGUCUCUAGAAGUAUGUAAGUGAAGGUUGAGAUAUACACAGAAGGUAAGCCAUAUGGGGAUUUAUCGAUGCAGAAUCUUUUGUGAGGCAUCGAAGGAGGAAGAUAAAAUAUAAGUGGGCAUUGACUUGGCCUUAGCUUCAUAACAAGUGAGAUAUCUUCAGAGAAUCCAUGCAAAGCUCUAGACAGUGCAUCAUAAGGGAGAAAGGGGGAAUUGACUCCUCAGCUCAGGUCUCCCAUCGGUCAAAGUUCAUAGGACAUCAGCACCCUUGCAUUUCCCAGUUGCCCCCACCCGAUCCCUCUGGCAGCUUCUGGAGUAGCUAUAUCCCAAAAAUCUGUGGGAUCAUUUUCAGGGUGAACCACCUGCCUUCUUGGAGCUCAGAGGGUGGCCUGACCAGGUAGCAGUGGGUUUGUGGCAUCCUGCACCUCAGCAGCAGCAGGGAACACCAGAGAAAGAAGAAUGUGCAGGCCGGGAUAGGAGAGGCACAGGAACUGUGAGGCAAGAUGCUUUCUGAACUUGCCCACUGGCCAUAUGCAGGUCCAGGUUGGCAUGGCAGGCUAAGAGGGAGAGACGUUAUUCAGGGAAUGGCCCCUUCCCAAAAGAUGGCAACAUAACUCUAGAUUCUCUAUUCAAUAAAAAUGAAAACGUCCUCUCUACAGCCUACAUGAAUUAUAUUGAUUGCAGAAAUCUGCCUGAAUGUUCAUCAGUAACCUCAAAAAAAAAAAAAA
rnacentral:lncRNA from 1 species